UACGUAGGGUGCGAGCGUUGUCCGGAAUUACUGGGCGUAAAGAGCUCGUAGGUGGUUUGUCGCGUUGUUCGUGAAAACCGGGGGCUUAACCCUCGGCGUGCGGGCGAUACGGGCAGACUUGAGUACUGCAGGGGAGACUGGAAUUCCCGGUGUAGCGGUGGAAUGCGCAGAUAUCAGGAGGAACACCGGUGGCGAAGGCGGGUCUCUGGGCAGUAACUGACGCUGAGGAGCGAAAGCGUGGGGAGCGAACAGG
rnacentral:rRNA from 1 species